CAGCAGCCGCGGGAAUACGGAGGGGGCUAGCGUUGUUCGGAAUUACUGGGCGUAAAGCGCACGUAGGCGGCUUUGUAAAUUAGAGGUGAAAGCCUGGGGCUCAACUCCAGAAUUGCCUUUAAGACUGCAUCGCUUGAACGUCGGAGAGGUGAGUGGAAUUCCGAGUGUAGAGGUGAAAUUCGUAGAUAUUCGGAAGAACACCAGUGGCGAAGGCGGCUCACUGGACGACUGUUGACGCUGAGGUGCGAAAGCGUGGGGAGCAAACAGGAUUAGAUACCCCCGUAGUCCCUGUCUCUUAUAC
rnacentral:rRNA from 1 species